rnacentral:rRNA from 1 species
UACAGAGGGUGCAAGCGUUGUUCGGAAUUAUUGGGCGUAAAGGGCUCGUAGGCGGUUUGUCGCGUCUGCCGUGAAAGUCCGGGGCUCAACUCCGGAUCUGCGGUGGGUACGGGGCAGACUAGAGUGAUGUAGGGGGAGACUGGAAUUCCUGGUGUAGUGGUGGAAUGCGUAGAUAUCGGGAGGAACACCAGUGGCGAAGGCGGUUGCCUGGAGCUUUGCUGACGCUGAUGCGCGAAAGCGUGGGGAGCGAUCCGG